UCGAAGGUGAUAACCAUCUUUCGGCGCCGCACUGUACUAAACUAACUAAAGUGGGGGAUAGUGAGGGGAUAAAUUUCCUUAAGGAACUCGGCAAAAUCCCAAUGGCCCACCAGGGCAUAGAUUGGAACACGGGCCUCGACUGUUUACCAAAAACAUAGCCCUCGGCUAAUAUGAAAAUAGAAGUAUGGAGGGUGAGGCCUGCCCAAUGGUUGUAUCUAAAAGCGGUGGAUAAAAGUCGACCGUGUAAGGACAAUUGAAUGGCCGCGGUAACACUGACCGUGAUAAUGUAGCGUAAUCACUAGCCAAUUAAUUGUUGGCCAGUAUGAAUGGCGCCACGAAGGCCCCACUGUCUUAAGGAAAUUCCCAGUGAAAUUGAAUUCGUAGUGAAGAUGCUACGUCCAAUUUGUUAGACGAAAAGACCCCGUUGAGCUUUACUGGGGCACUUACACGGCCCUGGCCUUCAAGCCUAAGUGUGAUAGGCCAAGGCUUACCGCACCUAGGAGUUGGCCGAAUUUAAAUGGGUGGCUUAGACUAUGUGGCAGCCCCCCGUCGGGGCAGAUGAAACCCCACUCCCCCAUGUCAAAGGGGCUAACCCCCUCCUCUUGGGAGGGGGGACAAUGUAAGUAGGACAGUUUGGUUGGGGCGACCGCCUUUUAAAUAGUAACGAAGGUGCGCUUA
rnacentral:rRNA from 1 species